GAUGAACGCUAGCGGAAGGCCUAACACAUGCAAGUCGAGCGGUAUUUGGUAGCUUGCUGCUAGAGAGAGCGGCGUACGGGUGCGUAACAUGUGUGCAACCUACCCUUAUCAAGGGGAUAGCCAUUCGAAAGGAUGAUUAAUACCCUAUAAUAUAUCAGGUGGCAUCAUUUGAUAUUGAAAGCUACGGUGGAUAAGGAUGGGCACGCACAAGAUUAGCUAGUUGGUAAGGUAACGGCUUACCAAGGCGAUGAUCUUUAGGGGUCCUGAGAGGGAGAUCCCCCACACUGGGACUGAGACACGGCCCAGACUCCUACCGGAGGCAGCAGUGAGGAAUAUUGGACAAUGGGUGGGAGCCUGAUCCAGCCAUUCCGCGUGCAAGAAAAAAGUCUUAUGGAUUGUAAACUGCUUUUAUAUAGGGAUAAAACUACUCUCGAGAGGGUAGCUGAAGGUACUAUAUGAAUAAACACCGGCUAACUCCAUGCCAGCAGCCCCCGUAAUACCGAAGGGUGCAGCGUUUUCCCGACUUUUUGGGUUUAGGGUCCGCAGCGGGUUAUUAAGUCAGUGGUGAAAUCUCAUAGCUCAACUAUGAAACUGCCAUUGAUACUGAUAGUCUUGAGUAUAUUUGAAGUAGCUGGAAUAAGUAGUGUAGCGGUGAAAUGCAUAGAUAUUACUUAGAACACCAAUAGCGAAGGCAGGUUACUAAGAUAUUACUGACGCUGAGGGACGAGAGCGUAGGGAGCGAACAGGAUUAGAUACCCUGGUAGUCUACGCUGUAAACGAUGCUAACUCGUUUUUGGUAUUUAGGUAUCAGAGACUAAGCGAAAGUGAUAAGUUAGCCACCUGGGGAGUACGCUCGCAAGAGUGAAACUCAAAGGAAUUGACGGGGGCCCGCACAAGCGGUGGAUUAUGUGGUUUAAUUCGAUGAUACGCGAGGAACCUUACCAAGACUUAAAUGGGAAUUGACAGCUAUAGAGAUAUGGUUUUCUUCGGACAAUUUUCAAGGUGCUGCAUGGUUGUCGUCAGCUCGUGCCGUGAGGUGUUAGGUUAAGUCCUGCAACGAGCGCAACCCUUGUCACUAGUUGCCAUCAUUAAGUUGGGGACUCUAGUGAGACUGCCUACGCAAGUAGAGAGGAAGGUGGGGAUGACGUCAAAUCAUCACGGCCCUUACGUCUUGGGCCACACACGUAAUACAAUGGGCGAUACAGAGGGCAGCUACACAGCGAUGUGAUGCGAAUCUCGAAAGUCGUUCUCAGUUCGGAUUGGAGUCUGCAACUCGACUCUAUGAAGCUGGAAUCGCUAGUAAUCGCGUAUCAGCCAUGACGCGGUGAAUACGUUCCCGGGCCU
rnacentral:rRNA from 1 species